rnacentral:rRNA from 1 species
UGGGGGAUAUUGCACAAUGGGCGAAAGCCUGAUGCAGCGACGCCGCGUGGGGGAUGAAGGCCUUCGGGUUGUAAACUUCUUUUGCUCUGAACAAGGCAUGCUAAUGGGUGUGUUGAGUGUAGGGGUUGAUUAGCGCCGGCUAACUACGUGCCAGCAGCCGCGGUAAUACGUAGGGCGCGAGCGUUGUCCGGAAUUAUGGGCGUAAAGGGCUUGUAGGUGGCUGGUUGCGUCUGUCGUGAAAGCUCAUGGCUUAACUGUGGGUUUGCGGUGGGUACGGGCUGGCUUGAGUGCAGUAGGGGAGGCUGGAAUUCCUGGUGUAGCGGUGGAAUGCGCAGAUAUCAGGAGGAAUACCGGUGGCGAAGGCGGGUCUCUGGGCUGUUACUGACACUGAGGAGCGAAAGCAUGGGGAGCGAACAGG